rnacentral:rRNA from 1 species
UACGUAGGGGCCUAGCGUUGUCCGGAUUUAUUGGGCGUAAAGAGCUCGUAGGCGGUUCGAUAAGUGAGGUGUGAAAUCUCCACGCUCAACGUGGAGGGGCCACUUCAUACUGUCGUGACUUGAGUCCGGUAGGGGAGUGCGGAAUUUCCGGUGUAGCGGUGAAAUGCGCAGAUAUCGGAAGGAACACCAAUGGCGAAGGCAGCACUCUGGGCCGGUACUGACGCUGAGGAGCGAAAGCGUGGGUAGCAAACAGG